rnacentral:rRNA from 1 species
ACACACCGCCCGUCACACCACGAGAGUUUGUAACACCCGAAGUCGGUGAGGUAACCUUUUAGGAGCCAGCCGCCUAAGGUGGGAUAGAUGAUUGGGGUGAAGUCGUAACAAGGUAGCCGUAUCGGAAGGUGCGGCUGGAUCACCUCCUUUCUAAGGA